UGUAAAAUACAUAUGAGCGUGGUAUAAUCACCAGGCCAAAAGCCUGCUCUUCAUGAGGUAAAAAUGUUGAGAUGCCUCUGCUGAUACCUAGAAGAAACAUCAGAAGUAAGAUGCUCUUUCCAGGUGUUUUGAAACUCUUAAAAUUAGGCAGUAUGAAAACUACAGUCUGGUUUAUUUCAAGCAGAAGGUGCAUAAAUUGGGGGUUGAAAGCUAAUAUUAGACUCUUCUAGAUGGCCUACAUGCUAGAAGGGAUUAAAGAGCCUGCUGAUCACUGGGACAGGAAUGGUGCUAACCAAAGGAGGGGAGGAAGUUCAAGGUGGGAGGAGGCUGCGGGCCAACAUGACAGCUACCGUUAGAGCCCAGAGACACGUGGUUCAAUUUCUCCAGCAUUUUUUCUAGCACUGGAAUAUACCAUGACUCUGCAAGUGCUGUCCUAGAGGCCAUGAGAGGGUUUGGCAGACAGGGCUUCUAGAGCAAAUAGAGGGGAGGAAGACCAUGACUGAAACAGACUCCUGGACACCAUUUUGGGGGCUGGAAAGUUUAAAGCAAGGGGGGACCAGAUAGAGCAGGUGGGAUUCUCUGCACAGAUGACCCAUAGUCUAAAUUUCAGUGAACUGCUAUAUUAAGCAAAUUUUACCCAAUUUUAUUUCUCAGAAUAUCUACAAGAACACUGAAGGGUCUAAGAUUUUACCCUUCUUCAAACAGCCGUUUCAUGAAGGCUAGAAGAUGUGAUAUCCUGGGUCAGAGACAAUGGAUUUAAUUACUUAGAGCACGAUUCUUAUUCAUUUGGUGAAUUAUGAACCAGCUACCAAGCAAUCAUUGAAGAAGAGUGAAGUCUCUUCAACAGCUAUAUUUUUAAUUACCCUCCAGUCUUCACUCAAGAAGAAAUAGACCUGAAUGAAGAUAAUAAUUUGACAAGAAACUCUUGACACAAAGGUGUUCAUAAGGCAUAAAGGAGAAAAGCCCAUAUUAAGCCUGCCACCCUGGCAAUAUAUUUGACAUACAAAAGCUGAAAGAAUUAAUCACCAGCAGAUCUACAGUACCAGAAAUGUAAAAGGAUGUCCCUCAAGCAGAAGGAAAAUGGAUCUACUCUAAUGAAGAGUACUAGAGAUGAUAAUGUGUUGGUAAACAUAAAAGACACCUACCUACUUUUAAAAUCUCUUUAGAAGAUUACUGGCUGUUUAAAACAAAAUCAGCAAUGUGUUGUGGGGUUUAUAUAUAUG